rnacentral:lncRNA from 1 species
AGUGGUCCAGCAUCAAAUUAGUAAGGGGCAUGCUGUAAUUAGGUAUGGAACAAAGUAAGAUUCUACAUCUCUAGGGUAUCUCGGUAUUGUCUACCUUGCAUCACCGACCAAGCCGAGCGUAUUUUGAUUAGCAACACAGGCAUUGGUUCUGAAAGGGUAGUUCCAUAUGGAGUUAGGGUUGCGUGCUUGGCUUUUGACCUUUCCUUUCGAGAAUGUGCUUCUGAUGCGCUCCAAAACAAAGAACUAAUUGGGUACUUUGAAGCAGCGGGCAAGCAUUAAGAAUGAGAAGUUUUAGUUGAAGUCGUAGAGAUCAGAUGCUUGAUCGGGAUCCGCUGAAGCGAGGUGUGGUCAAAGUCGUCAAUUGAAGUCGACCAGAGAGGAAGCAGUUCUCAAGUCUGGUUAAGGCGAUUCCGUUGGUUAGUAUAUACUUGCCCUUACUUAGUAAGGCUGUUUGUUUUGUCGGUGAAGAAAGUAGAGCCCUUAAGUUAAUGGCAUUGGCGACUAGACCAGGAUCUCAAGUAAAGAAGAAGAUGGAGCUGGAUUAUAAGCUUUAUUAAGAGAAUCCGCUGUGGUUGAAGUGUUGGCCCCUUGAACUCCCUCUCCCUUAACAGAGACCUUAGCUUAGCUCUUUUCUCGUUGUUUAUAGACUGUUCACUCCUCCUUAUGGCUAAUCACUUAUUGAAAAACCCCUAUCAGCUGCUCUAUAUGGGCUGUUCCUGUUCUAAGAUCUGAAGCAAGGAAGUAAAGUUGAGUGCACUUAUGCAAGUAUAGUGAAAGUCCUGUGCCACUUAUAUAUCUGCUAAGUUAAGGAGUUAUUCAGUUCCAUUUCAUUCAACAAGCUAGUUUUGAGUUCGUGCUUGCGCUUACAGAGUUCGGAUAAAGUAUGAGUCAUUAAAGUGCAAGUGUGAGGGUGACCUUUCAAGUUCAGAAGUGUCCUCUAUUCUCCUCGG